rnacentral:lncRNA from 10 species
CCCGCCCCCGACACCCGCCGCCACACAAAGGCGCUGCGUCCUGGCGGCCAGCGGGGGCUUAGUCUAGGCCCGGCAGGGUUUUCUGGAAGACCAGAGGGCCACCAGGUCACCGAGGUGGGAAGUGAAGAGAGGUUCGACGCUGCCUCAGGCCUGGGCCUGGCCGGUGGGAGACACAGCAAGGACUCUGGGAGCCUGCAGAGCAGAGGCCGCCGCGGGGCCGGGCCCCCGUCUCCUCCUCAGGUCCAAGACCAGAGGGUCUGCAGGGCCCCAGAGCAGCUGGCCGCGCUCCGCUUCCCACCGCGCUCUCUGCUGGAACUCAUGUCUAGGGGUCAGAAAUCUGCAAUCAGUUUCGGUGGACCAAAAUGAAAAUGUCAAACAGGGUGUCUGACACCCUCCAGAAGCACCAGAGGAGAAGCAGCUUUCCUUGGCCUUCCCAGGUUCUACAGGGACAUUCCUUGGCUCAUAGCUCCCCCUCCCAUUUUCUUUCUUUCUUUUCUUUUCUUUUCUUUUCUUUUCUUUUCUUUUUUUUCUUUUUUUUUUUUUUGAGACAGAGUCUCGCUCUGUCACCCAGGCUGGAGUGCAGUGGCGCCAUCUCGGCUCACUGCAAGCUCCGCCUCCCGGGUUCACGCCAUUCUCCUGCCUCAGCCUCCCGUAGCUGGGAUUACAGGCACCCGCCACCACGCUCGGCUAAUUUUUUGUACUUUUAGUAAAGACGGGGUUUCACCGUACUAGCCAGGAUGGUCUCGAUCUCCUGACCUCGUGAUCAGCCCGCCUCGGCCUCCCAAAGUGCUGGGAUUACAGGCGUGAGGCACCGCGCCCGGCCUCCUCCUCCCGUUUUCAAAGUCACCAGCGUAGCAUCCUGAUUCAAGAUCACAUUGUCUUCUUUUUUUUUUGUAGCCAAAUCUCCCUCUGCCUCUCUCCCCUGGUGACGACAAUGGCUGGGGUCUUGACUUGCCAAGGUAACUCGUUGGGGAGCAGAGAGUGGGAUCCGCAGUGUUCUGGUGGCUGUUGGGAUCUGGGCGCGAGGAAGGAGAGUGGCUCUCAUGAUUCUCUGCAUUCUCAGUGCAGCGUGGCCCGUACUGGUCACCUGGGUAUAGCUUUACUGAAUUUCGCAGAUCUGGAAACGGAGAAGGGACUGGAUCUCCAAACUUGGACUGCCUUGGACUGACCCUGGCCUGGAAGGUGUGGGCUCAGGACUCCGAGCUCAAGUCAGUCUGUUCCCCCAACCCCUAACCCACUGCAUCCGGGUGAGGAGUUGGGCCCGAGCGCCACAGCGCAGAUAGGGUUGUUAGGAGCGAAAGACUGGAGACCCAGGGACUGUGGGGCUGGGCUGGUGGGGCCACUGCUACCGACUAAGCAGUACGGGCCGCCUGGAAGACCGAAGGCGGAGUUCGCUGAUGCGGAAGCCAAGGCACAGGGCAAUAAGGAUCCGCGCCAUUUCUUGUGAUGUCACCUGAAGCCUUGGCGGGUAGCUGCCUCUCAUCCAUUCGGAGGACAGGGCUCCAGCCACCGGCAGCUCUGAAAGAGUUUGAAGAAUUUAUUGUUCACAGAUGGUAUUUAAAUGGACUUAUUUCUAAAAGUCACAUUCCUUUAUUACUUAUUUGUUAUUAGAAGUACCCAUUUUCAUAUGUGUUUAAAACUAUUUGUGUCUCAAAUUCUCAGGAGAUUGAUGCAUCCCAGUUUACUCUUUUUGGCAUAUGUUUUUACUCAUAAAUUAGGUUAAAUUUCAUACUUGUUUUAUAAAAUUUAGUUAUUUGGUUACAUUAAAAUAUUUGUAUCCAGAUAAGAAGUCUCUUCCUUCUCCUAUGCUUUUUUUGGAAUUUAGAGCAUAUCUGAAAUAAAAUUAAUUUACUUUUUAUUACUAA